rnacentral:lncRNA from 1 species
CUCCCCUGGUGCCUGAGCCCGCCCGCACCGGGGCCUGGUGGGGCGCAGGGCCCGCCCCCUUGGGGACCCUGCGGGCCUCCUCGGGCGCACCCGGGCGCUGGAAGCUGCACCUGACGGAGCGUGCCGACUUCCAGUACAGCCAGCGCGAGCUGGACACCAUCGAGGUCUUCCCCACCAAGAGCGCCCGCGGCAACCGCGUCUCCUGCAUGUAUGUUCGCUGCGUGCCUGGUGCCAGGUACACGGUCCUCUUCUCGCACGGCAAUGCCGUGGACCUGGGCCAGAUGAGCAGCUUCUACAUUGGCCUGGGCUCCCGCCUCCACUGCAACAUCUUCUCCUACGACUACUCCGGCUACGGUGCCAGCUCGGGCAGGCCUUCCGAGAGGAACCUCUAUGCCGACAUCGACGCCGCCUGGCAGGCCCUGUGCACCAGGUACGGCAUCAGCCCGGACAGCAUCAUCCUGUACAGGCAGAGCAUCGGCACGGUGCCCACCAUGGACCUGGCCUCGCGCUACGAGUGUGCCGCGGUGGUGCUGCACUCGCCGCUCACCUCGGGCAUGCGCGUCGCCUUCCCCGACACCAAGAAGACCUACUGCUUCAACGCCUUCCCUAAGUGAGUGGCCCAGGCGGGGACGGGGGCGGGGCGGGGCC